rnacentral:misc_RNA from 1 species
AGCGGGGACAAAGACACCUCAGCGCAGUGAAAGGGACAAGCCCGUACGACGUAGGUGAGGUCAGAGCGAUGUAUCGCUGCUGAUGUCGGCGGUGAAGCGCUGGAUGCCGUGGCUUCGCAGCGACCUGCAGCAGUGAAGACAUUUGUGCCAUCCUUCUGAUGGACAGAGUAUCAGCGUAACUCGAACGUAUCCCACCCCGGCCCUCGCACUCCCUACUCGUGUGGGAGAGUCUGUGCCAUGGCGAGCGGAAUGCGCCAGGAGUGGCAACCUCCAUCAUGGGGAAGUGCCUGUGAGGCGACAUGCGAGGCCGGGGGGGGCGAAUGAGUAGUAUUCGAGGCAGAGGCCGUGCUCUCCGAUGACUGAGUCGGCACAUUGCUGUACCGCGCGUGUCCACGGCUGCUUCGCACCACGUGACGAACCUGUGAAAGGCCUGGGCCCGAGUGGCGUUUGACUCAUGCUGUAGAGCGGAACAGGCACGCUCUAGAGCAUAGGCUCAUCUUGCUUGCUCUCCAUCUGCUAUUGUACGACCGAUGCGCCACCGCCUCGAGUUCUCUUUCUGGUAAAAGCGAGCCUUUUUCAUCGCUGCCGCGACGGGCAUGAUACAUGAAGUAUUCUAUCAAGUGCCUUAAUCGUGGCAUCCAUCUCCCUCUUUGCGCAUAUGGACAUGAACUAAACCAUCCCCGCUUUCCCAAGGUCUUCCCACCUGCUGCUUUUGUUUCCGUAUUUCCUCCACCACCAUCGCUCUCCCCGUGAAG